ensembl:lncRNA
GUCACAUGGCCCUCUUCCUAUUGAAAAAACAGAAGUUGUAUCCAAGAUGGCCGACUUCUAAAUGGCCACCAUGGUCACCACCCAUCUUGAGGAGUUUGCCCCCUCACAUAUACUAAUGUGCCACAAACAGGACUUUAAUAUCACCAACCAUUCCCAUGUUAUUACGGUGUAUCCAUAUAAAUGGCCCACCCCGUAUAUAAUAGUUGUAAAAAAAACAAUGGAUCCCCAUUUGUUCUGCACAAUUGUGAAAAGUUUAUAAAACAGUCCAUUUAUUCCAGUAAGGACCAGAGGUUAGGGUACUACGCUUGACCCAAAACCUGGUUCAAACCCUCUUCUCCAUCCAAAUUUGUCUUUCUGCCUAUAUUCUUUUAUUCUACCUGGUGCAAUUGUAUGUUCCAGUAAAAUUACAUUAUUGAUCAAUGGGCAGGGCUAAAGACUUUAUAUUUUCUAGCUUUCAGUAUUAAAACAACACCUGUAAAAAAAAAAAAAAAAAAAAAAAAAGAUUUCCCCUCUAGAAUUAGUAAAGUGUUUUGAAUCUAAUGUUGUGGAUCAUAGUUACAUACAACACAAAGUUAUAAGGAGUGAAUACCUUUUCUAAUGUGUUUCCCACAUUUGUUCCUAGUAUCUGUGGUAGUACCAUCCAGUGAACAAGAGAAACUUCCUGAUGUCAGAUGUUAAAUUUUACAUGUCCAAAAAUAAUGUGCGGGGAGAGGGAAUUCUUUCCUAUGUUUACAUUUGUUUUACUAUUUAAAACUAGGUCUUUGGCGGUGAAAGAAGGGUCGGUGAAUUGAGGUGCAGCAGAGUGCAGGCUGAGCAGGUGAAACAGAAGGGAGUAAAGGAGCACAAGGACUGUAGCUUGGAAGGCAGUAAAGGGUGGGUAAGCAGGAAGGUGUUUGGUCACAAAGUUGUUAGAGUUUGGUGAAAGGUGAAGAAGAAGUAGAGACGCAUGGGAACACAGCUAUAGCAAAUUAGACAUAAUGAGACUAGGGGAAGCAAAACUGAAUGCAAUGCACACGAGACAAGGACUCUCAAAAUAAGACAGGAAACAUGCAACCCAGAUUCAAGACACACAAACUAGAUGCUGGAAGAAAAUACAAACACAUGAGACACAGACAAGACAAAGAACUAAAUUAUAAUCACAUAUAAAUCCAGACACAAAUCAAGAAUCCAUUUCUCAAAACACGAUACAAUAAAGACUAAAAAGUCCAAAAAACAGAGAACACUGGGAAACACACCCAGGGAAAGUGACACUCGAGGGACAGUCUGAGGAGGGAGCCAUACGGUUAGUGUAGUAACGGUGACAAAUAACUAAGCAGACUAGAAAGUUGGUCUCAAAGUGUGUGAGCUAUUGUGAAACAACUGUUACAUCAUCGGUUAUAGACAUGUACAAGCAUGUAAAAACGUCGGUGUCUAAAAUCUAGUAAAUACGCAGAUGAGUAAUUUUUAGUAUCAAUUUCUAAUAAUAAUUAGUUUUUUACAUUAGCAAGCCCAAUGAUGGUCGGAGAUGGUCUGAUACCGAGAGCAGCAAUAUAAAAAGACACGAACCUGGAAAUGUGUCCGUGGAAGUAAAUGUUUGUAAUGAAAUGUAUUUUAAGAUGUGGAAAAUCUUUCCCUGAGAACUAGAAAUGCAGGCGCAGAAGUGUGUGUAGGGCAGUAAUAGAAUUAAAUGUGAGUCACAUGAAACAUAAGCUACUGAUAACUAACUAACUACACAAUAAAACAUAAAAGUAGUGCUUCUAUCUUUGUCAAGUGUAAUCUGGAAUGGAUUUUAAGUGAGUGUAGUAAAUAAGCACAAAGGUACUGAAGGUGGCUUGUGUUUUAUGCCAUUAAAACACAGUAACAGUGCUGUGUUUUUGAGGACAGAGAUGAACUAACAGUCAUCUGUAGUUCUGACACUGGGGCACACUGAGCACGAACACACUGCUUUUUGGACUGAAUGUGUCAAAUACCCAAGCUAAAACUAAUGUCACGGCUAGUUAGCUAACAGUUACCCAUGACCAAAAUCUAUGGCAGCAUGGCCCAGGGUGCCAGGUUCACUUUAACAUGGGCCCCAUCGUGACUGCCUAAACCUUUUCUUAGGGCAUGAUUGGUUAUAUUAGAUCCUGUGUGAACCUGUGCGGUUUGUUUGAGAUAAUUACAGCACAAGUCUCAGGGGAAAAAAAGUCACACAAAUUGUUAACAAAUAGUUCACCUGUUAUUUUUUUAGGCUUUCACACUUUAAUUUAAUUAACAGUAGAAAUAGUUUCGUCAGUUUCUGGCUGCAGAGCGUGAGUAAGUGGUUAGAGUAACAAUGAUUCAAACAAUUAAUGCAACAAACACAAUUUCUAAUAAAAAAAAUGAUGAAGGCCUGUUUGAUUUUCUUAUUAAAAGAUAAGUGCAUGAAGUACAACACACUCUGUCUCUGUUGAUAUCAACCUGUGCAGUUCAGCCAGCGGUCGUUCUUUCUCUCACUCUCACUCACAUGUGUAAAAGCAGCGGCUUGCUGCCACGUGACUGGCUGAUUAGAGAUUAGCUGCUGAACUGCUUUUGUUACACCCUUGACACCUCCUGUGCUUCUCUAAGUUUGCUCUCUGGAAGUCCUUUUCUGCUGAUUUGUAAUUACACCGUGUCCCCUGUGCUGUGCAAAGAGCAAACAUCAGCUCAGGUAUCAUUGUGCAAUUUUUCAGUAUGAAGCUACACAGUUCACACUCUGUUCACUAGUAUAACACACUAGCACCACGAUUCAAUAAUUUUUUUUAAAUUCAAUUUUAUUUACACAGCGCCAAGUCACAACUACAGUCGCCUCAAGGCGCUUUAUAUUGUAAGGUAGACCCUACAAUGAUUCAUAUAGAGAAAAACCCAACAACCAUAUGACCCCCUAUGAGCAAGCUCUUUGGCGACGGUGGGGAGGAAAAACUCCCUUUUAACAGGAAGAAACCUCCGGCAGAACCAGACAAUCAUCCCUUUAUUGUAGAAAGUAAAGAUGUAGCUUCCUGCUAUCAUUGCUUUUGAGAUGCUUCUAAGAUUUUUGUCUUUUUUCUUUUUUUUAAUAAAGAAUAGAGACAUGAAAUGCCACUCUAAAAUAAAUGGUUAUGUACAAAUGUUGCAUUGCUAAAUAGGGAAACUGUCACAGUCCUGUGUUGGUAACCCAGUGUUUUGACUUUUAUAUUAUUAUUGAUCUUGAUUUCUCAUGGUUUUUGACUGCUAGUGUUUUGGUUUCUGUUUUGUAUUUCUAGCUCUCCAGUUCUUCUUGAUUUGUGAUUUCU